UGGGGAAUUUUGGACAAUGGGCGAAAGCCUGAUCCAGCAAUGCCGCGUGUGUGAAGAAAGCCUUCGGGUUGUAAAGCACUUUUGUCCGGAAAGAAAUCCUUGGCUCUAAUACAGUCGGGGGAUGACGGUACCGGAAGAAUAAGCACCGGCUAACUACGUGCCAGCAGCCGCGGUAAUACGUAGGGUGCAAGCGUUAAUCGGAAUUACUGGGCGUAAAGCGUGCGCAGGCGGUUUGCUAAGACCGAUGUGAAAUCCCCGGGCUCAACCUGGGAACUGCAUUGGUGACUGGCAGGCUAGAGUAUGGCAGAGGGGGGUAGAAUUCCACGUGUAGCAGUGAAAUGCGUAGAGAUGUGGAGGAAUACCGAUGGCGAAGGCAGCCCCCUGGGCCAAUACUGACGCUCAUGCACGAAAAGCGUGGGGAGCAAACAGGAUUAGAUACCCUGGUAGUCCACGCCCUAAAACGAUGUCAACUAGUUGUUGGGGGAUUCAUUUCCUUAGUAACGUAGCUAACGCGUGAAGUUGACCGCCUGGGGAGUACGGUCGCAAGAUUAAAACUCAAAGGAAUUGACGGGGUCAUAGCUGUUUCCU
rnacentral:rRNA from 1 species